CAUUCUGUGUCUAGACUUUAGAGC
rnacentral:piRNA from 1 species